ACAUGGGGUGCCCUAAAUGGGCUGAGAUUAUACCCGGAAGUCGAGUACUUCGCACCUGAUCCAGAUAAUGCUGGCGUAGGGAAUUUGG
rnacentral:ncRNA from 1 species